AUUCCAAAAUCAUCAAAACCGAAU
rnacentral:snRNA from 1 species